rnacentral:tRNA from 1 species
GACUGCUUGGCGCAAUGGUAGCGCGUUCGACUCCAGAUCGAAAGGUUGGGCGUUCGAUCCGCUCAGUGGUCAAA